AGUCAGUUGCUAUUAUUGCAACUUCAAAUAAGUGUAGGACGGUUUCAAACUGGCGCUUAUUUAGGUUCUGGAAGAUGUUUAAACUCUGCAAGGUGGAAAGUUUAUGAAUUCAAUUCCUUUUAUAACACUGUCUGUGGUUUGUACUAUACAGGUUCUCGCAGCAUAGUAUAACAAAAUUGGCUGACUACAGUCCCUAAAUUAAAAUAAUGCUACAAAUUUAAAAUUCACACUCCAUAAAUCUAAUUAUCCAAGAAUUUUUAAAGCUUUCCAGUAGAGAGACCUUUUCCCCCUGUUAACCUGGAUUGGUACUAUUGCCUGCAGUGGUGUUAGGGGCCUACCAUGGUAAGUGCAAUGCACUUUUCCUCUAAAAGGGAAUGAGACCGUCACUCUCAGCAGUUUUCUGAGUGUCCUGGCUUUAUUUCUUUCUUUAACAGAAGAGACAAUGCCUUUGUGAGCAUGGGGAACAGCAAUGCUACUGGUGAGAGCCUCCAGAGGUCCUGACAACUGCUCUGGCCAAGAGCAGGAGUUAGUCCCCAGCAUCUCACAUUUGAAAAAGUACAUUGACAUCAAUAAAGCCAGAGCCUGGCGCUGAGGAGGGCAGGAAGGCCGAUCCCCGGUGGAGGAGAAGGGCCUGUGGGGCAGCUGGGCCUGGGGACACUGCAGUGGGGAGCAUCACCUCGGCAGCGCCUGGGGAAGGGCAACUGCAGGCGACUGCCUGGUGCAGGAAGAUCAGUAAUGGGAGCUGCAGCAGAGCCUCAUGAGACCCCUUCUCUGUUUAGCAAGCCUGGACUCUCUUACUGAGAGUUGAUUCUCUUAAGGACAGCCUGUGUCAUCCUUAUAAAUAGCAUUCAAUGUGUCAGGCUGUGUUUGGGUCCCUGGAAAGUGUAGCCAGUUUUGAAUAUAUCGUCCACAUGAAAAGGGGAUGUCUUCUCUAUUUUUGACAAAAUUUCCCUGUUUUGCUGUUUUCAGUUUUUCUCAGAGAAAGGCAUAGGGCGAUCUCACACAACAGACAGAAAAUGCCAAUCUAUCUCUUCUGUGUAAGAAUCAAAUAGCCUGCUAAACAAAUAUGUUAUUACAUGGAAAUACUUGGUUUUCUCUGAGAUGUACUACCUACUGACAUAACCAUUCUGGACUUGGAUGUGCUUUUGGGCUUCAGUAACAAA